GUGCAUGCAUGUGUGUGCAUGCAUGCACAUGCACAUAAACACAUACAUACACACACCAAGAAUUCACA
rnacentral:miRNA from 1 species